rnacentral:rRNA from 1 species
GGAUUAGAUACCCGGGUAGUCCCAGCUGUAAACUAUGCAAACUCAGUGAUGCAUUGGCUUGUGGCCAAUGCAGUGCUGCAGGGAAGCCGUUAAGUUUGCCGCCUGGGAAGUACGUACGCAAGUAUGAAACUUAAAGGAAUUGGCGGGGGAGCACCACAAGGGGUGAAGCCUGCGGUUCAAUUGGAGUCAACGCCG